UCGUCAGUGAGGUACAUCCUUACCUGUUACUCCAGAAAUGGAGUAUCAGAACAUGAUGAAUGGACAUCUAUGAGAUAUGAUUAGUGUCUCUACUCUUGAUGGCAACACCAUCCAUCUUGAGCCAUUCUGAC